AGGCCCGGAACGAGCGCAACCCUUAUCCCUGUUUGCCAGCACUUCGGGUGGGAACUCCAGGGAGACUGCCGGUGAUAAACCGGAGGAAGGUGGGGACGACGUCCAGUCAUCCUGGCCCUUACCAGUAGGGCUACACACGUGCCACAAUGGCGCAUCCAGAGGGCGGCCAACUUGCGAAAGUCAGCGAAUCGCAAAAAGUGCGUCGUACUCCGGAUUGGAGUCUGCAACUCGACCCCAUGAAGUCGGAAUCCCU
rnacentral:rRNA from 1 species